rnacentral:rRNA from 1 species
CCUACGGGUGGCAGCAGUGGGGAAUAUUGGACAAUGGGCGAAAGCCUGAUCCAGCCAUGCCGCGUGUGUGAAGACGGCCUUCGGGUUGUAAAGCACUUUCAGUGGGGAAGAAAGCCUUGGGGCUAAUACCCUCGAGGAAGGACAUCACCCACAGAAGAAGCACCGGCUAACUCCGUGCCAGCAGCCGCGGUAAUACGGAGGGUGCGAGCGUUAAUCGGAAUUACUGGGCGUAAAGCGCGCGUAGGCGGUCUGAUAAGGCGGGUGGUGAAAGCCCCGGGCUCAACCUGGGAACGGCAUCCGGAACUGUCAGGCUAGAGUGAAUGAGAGGAAGGUAGAAUUCGCGGUGUAGCGGUGAAAUGCGUAGAGAUCGGGAGGAAUACCAGUGGCGAAGGCAGCCUUCUGGACUGACACUGACGCUGAGGUGCGAAAGCGUGGGUAGCAAACAGGAAUAGAUACCCCUGUAGUC